CUGGGAUAUAGGCCCAAGUCCAAUUCCAAGAGACCAAGGACGGAGAGAAGCUCCCACGCAAAGAAGAAAACGCACUCCUCAGAAGGUCGUUACGCCGGCGUUGCUUGCCUCGCCUCGGCGAGCUUCGAAGCAGAAUGGAACGCGAAAUGAAGCUCCAAUCAAACUUUGAAAUGUUUUGUCACCGUCGAGCUCGCACAGAAGAAACCAACAAAGAUUGUUACAGACGAAGUGAAAACUUACCCGAUUCGAAGCUUUAAUCACCAGUCGAAAAAUGGAAGAAGCAGAGAGAAGAUGAAGGUGAAAGAUUGAAGAUUCGAGAGAAGAAUCCAACGUUGAGAAGAAGUUGAAGAUUGAAUUUCCGGUGAUGAUUGGAGUUGACGAAGAUGAUUGCGGUUGGAAGAGCGAAGAAGAUGCAGGUUUAGUUUGGUUUGUUUAGAAUUUCAAACCUUGAAAUCCUAACAAUAAUGGAGGUUUUAGAGCUCUGGUAUGGGUGGUUAUCGCGAACAGUUGGAAGAAGGUGUUGGUAGUAGGAUGCAGUGGCAGGAGAAUGUAUUGGGAGAAGACAGUUAGUUUUCUUUCAAACCCUUCAGUGAGGUUCGUUUUAUAGUGGUUAUGGACGUGUGAAAUAGAGUGAAGCUUCUCCUUUCCAAAAAAAAAUCCUCACAAUGGAGAUGCUGAACUGUUAUGUAGAGAAAGAGCAUCGUAACUGAAUCGGUCAGUGGGGGCAAGUGGUUAGGGCAGGCUUCAUCUAUUCAGUUCCACAAGAUUUUUGUUAGCUCGAAAUUUCCAUUUAUGGGUUGCAGGUCAUGUGCCGUUUGUAGAAGAUUAGUGCAGGAUCCUUGAUUUGAAAUGUGGGUUUGACGUGGAUGCUCUUUUGGCGCUGACUGAGUUUGCGGGUUAAUCCAUUUUUGAAUUUCCAUCACUCUGUUCAUGUUACAGGUGGUGUAUCAUGGAGCCAUGCUUGGACAUGUUUUGGAGUUCCUGAGCUGACGUGGAACGUUACGACACUUGUUGGUCAUGGUUGUCAUGUGAAGUUGCCGUCACAGACUUGUUUGUAUGUAUUGAUGCUUGGCGCAUUGUAUGUAAAUGGAUUUACAAUUUUUUCUUUAGAUUUUGGAUGUGCAACGGGAUUAAGGCAUUGUACUGUGACGUAUUUGCAAUGUUAGUCUGAAUGUUGGUUUUGUUAAA